AAGCUCUAAAAGGCUCUGACAUCUCUGACAGUUUAAGUCUAUUUGGCAAAAAGCGUGAUGAUUACAGAAAACAGGAGCUGGAGAAACGAAAGAAAGACUAUUGUUGGAAGGAAAAUGAUCGAGGACUUCCUCACUGCAUACAGGAAGAUUCAAUUUGGUCUUUGCCUACUGAGGUGUGGUUCUCCUUAGUCAAGGGUGUAGAGAUUGGCCUCACACAAACUGUAGGACUGGCAUCGCUACAACUGAAAGGGCUGGCUAGCUACAUGGACAACUG
rnacentral:lncRNA from 1 species